UCGAGAAUCUUCCACAAUGGACGAAAGUCUGAUGGAGCGACGCCGCGUGGUUGAUGAAGUCCUUCGGGACGUAAAAACCUUUUAUGAGGGAGGAAGUUAUUGACGUUACCUCAUGAAUAAGGGGCUCCUAACUCUGUGCCAGCAGGAGCGGUAAUACAGAGGCCCCAAGCAUUAUCCGGAAUCACUGGGCGUAAAGGGUGUGUAGGCGGUCGUGUUAGUCUUUCGUGAAAGAUCUCGGGCUUAACCCGGGAGACGCGGAGGAAACGGCACGACUUAGAGGAUGUGAGAGGUAAAGGGAACUCAUGGUGUAGGGGUGAAAUCCGUUGAUAUCAUGGGGAACACCAAAUGCGAAGGCACUUUACUGGCACACUCCUGACGCUGAAACACGAAAGCGUGGGAAUCGAACGGGAUUAGAUACCCCCGUAGUCC
rnacentral:rRNA from 1 species